AGAAACUUAGGAUAAUAUUAAACCAAAGGCCUUCAAAGCCUUAAACAAGAGUUAAACCCUCUUAGUUUCUG
rnacentral:tRNA from 2 species